AUGUUAGUGACAUCUGAUAACUCAGAGCGCACUUCAGUGACGCCAUACAAUUCAGGGCACCCAAAAGAAAAAGGGUUUUUAAAUGUCCAGCAUGUCCAUGAAGAUUCUGACCAAGAUUAUUAUACUGACAUCGAGAAGGCUGACAGUCCGCAGAAAGUUGUACGUGGGCUUCAGUCAAGACAUAUUCAAUUAAUAGCUUUGGGUAGUGCCAUCGGUACAGGUUUAUUUAUUGGUUCAGGAGGGGCUUUAAGUACUUGUGGACCAGCUCCGUUAUUUAUGGCUUACAUCAUCAUAUCGUUUUUCGUUUGGACUAUUAUGAACCAGCUUACCGAGAUGGUUUGUUUGAUUCCACUUCCUGGUGAAGCUUCAAUUUACUCGCUUACAAAGACAUACAUGAACUCUUCGAUUUCUUUUAUGAGCGGUUGGAAUUUGUUUUACGCAAUGGCAAUGAUUGUGCCUACUGAGAUUACGGCUUGUGCAUUGUUGAUUAAAUAUUGGACUGAUGCUAACUCUGCAAUUUUCAUUACGAUCUUCAUUGUUGUGUCAAUCUGCUUAACCAUGCUACCUGUUAGGGCGUUUGGUGAAAGUGAAUUUUACGUCUGUACAAUUAAGAUUGUGACAAUUAUCGGUCUAAUUAUUAUUGGUAUUGUCAUAUUUUUUGGUGGUGGACCUAACCAACACCAUGUCUUAGGAUUCCAUUAUUGGAAAACCCCAGGAGCUUUCCAAGAACACUUGGCGAGUGGAAGCACAGGAAAAUUUUUGGCUGUCUGGACAGCCAUUAUUAAGAGUGGGUUCUCUUUCGUUCUAGUCCCUGAAACUGUCACUUCGUGUUCGGCGGAAUGUGUCAUGCCAAGAAGAAACAUGCCAAGAGCGUGUCAAAGAUUUGUCUACCGUUUAGCAGUCUUUUAUGUUUUAGGUACAUUAAUCAUCGGUGUUAUUGUCGGUUCUGACAACGACAGGUUGAUUAAUGCUAUUCAGAGUGGGAAAUCUGAUGCAGCAGCGUCACCAUUUGUUAUUGGGAUUCAAGAAGUUGGGAUUAAGGUUUUACCACACAUCAUAAAUGCUUGCAUUCUAACAAGUGCUUAUUCUUGUGGCUGUGCUUUAUUAUACGGCUCAUCAAGAACCAUUUAUGCUAUGGCUUUGAAAGGAGAUGCUCCAAAGAUUUUCGGUAAGGUAAAUAGAUUUGGUACUCCAUAUUACAGUGUUGGUGCUGCUAGUUUAUUCACAUUCCUUGCUUACCUCAACUGCUCAAAGUCAUCAUCUAAAGUUUUCAAUUGGCUCUCGAAUAUUGCAACAAUUUCUGGUUUUGUGAGUUGGAUCUUUGUUGCUGCCACUUACUUACGUUUCAGGAGAGUCAUGGACAUUUUAAAUUUGAACGACAGGGUUCCCUUCAGGGUUCCAUACCAGAGAGCAUUUGCAUGGGCUACUGGUAUAUUCUUCUUCAUUUUGAGUUUAACUAAUGGUUACUCUGUAUUUAUUAGUGGAAACUGGAAUGUGAGUGACUUCUUUGCUGCGUAUGUCACCAUUGGGUUUAUGAUGGUUCUUUUCAUCAUCGGUACUGCGUAUCAUCGUGAAUGGAGAUUCAGAGAUCCAUAUGAAAUUGAAACGGAAAUCCUUCCCAAGAUCGCAAUAUCCGACGAAGAGGAGAGAAACGAAGUUGUUCCAGUACCUAAAAAUUUGUGGGAAAAAAUAGUGGCCUUUAUCAUUUAA
rnacentral:tRNA from 1 species